rnacentral:rRNA from 1 species
UACGGAGGAUGCAAGCGUUAUCCGGAAUCAUUGGGUUUAAAGGGUCCGCAGGCGGGUUGUUAAGUCAGGGGUGAAAUCUUACAGCUCAACUGUAAAAUUGCCUUUGAUACUGGCAAUCUUGAAUCAUUAUGAAGUGGUUAGAAUGUGUAGUGUAGCGGUGAAAUGCUUAGAUAUUACACAGAAUACCGAUUGCGAAGGCAGAUCACUAACAAUGUAUUGACGCUCAGGGACGAAAGCGUGGGGAGCAAACAGG